AUGAUGGCGGCCUCGCCAUUGGCCAGCUUUUCCUGGCUUCCUCGUUCAUCAACAGGCAUGAAAGUGGAGAGUUUGGGCUGGCUCUUCUUCCUCUCUGGAGAAGUGCGGACCGGCAUCCAGCAGGAGUCUGAGUGGCCAUAUUCAUCACACUCACGGGUACACUUUCCAGUCAGGGCUACAUCUGGAAGAGGUCUUGAGUCAUUUUCCAUAUGCUCUGCCUCACCAACACUGCCAUCCGGCGUGGUCCUUUCAUAGUUGUCCUCUGGGAGUGGAAGGGCACCCAGCCUUGGCCCUGAUGAACUCUUACUGCUUGGUGUCUCUGACUCCUCCAGCCCGCUGUCAUAGCAACUCUGCAGUGACCCCUGAUGUGGGUCCUGAGGCUGACUCACAACAGAAAACGUCACUCUACGAAAUGGCUGCAAAAGAAAAGAUUCUGAAUGUCACUAAAAUAUAAGAUUGUAAAUGAUUUUAUCAAAAAACAC
rnacentral:lncRNA from 1 species